GAUGUGCUAGGAAUUCUUUCCAAGGUACAAAUAACAUACUACUGUAAGUCUACAUUAAAGACGUCGAGAGUGACUUGUUUGUUGUUUGGUCACGAGGAUAGGUAAAACUAGGUGUGAAGAUUUUUGACAUCAUCUCAAAGCAAAGAAUCACCAAUGUGCCCCGGGAUGAUAUAAGUCUUCGCCCAGACAUGUAUCCCUGCAGCCUCUGCUGGAAGGACAAUGUGACACUGAUUAUUGGCUGGGGGACUUCUGUCAAGGUAUGCUCAGUGAAGGAACGGCAUGCCAGUGAAAUGAGGGAUUUGCCAAGUCGAUAUGUUGAAAUAGUGUCUCAGUUUGAAACUGAAUUCUACAUCAGUGGACUUGCACCUCUCUGUGAUCAGCUUGUUGUACUUUCGUAUGUAAAGGAGAUUUCAGAAAAAACGGAAAGAGAAUACUGUGCCAGGCCUAGACUGGACAUCAUCCAGCCACUUUCUGAGACUUGUGAAGAGAUCUCUUCUGAUGCUUUGACAGUCAGAGGCUUUCAGGAGAAUGAAUGUAGAGAUUAUCAUUUAGAAUACUCUGAAGGGGAAUCACUUUUUUACAUCGUGAGUC
rnacentral:sRNA from 1 species